GCAGNUCGAACGAGAGCUUUCCUUCGGGAAAGUGGUAAAGUGGCAGACGGGUGAGUAACGCGUGGGAACGUGCCUUUCGGUCCGGAAUAACUCAGGGAAACUUGCUGCUAAUACUGGAUACGCCCUUCGGGGGAAAGAUUUAUCGCCGAAAGAUCGGCCCGCGUCAGAUUANCUUGUUGGUGGGGUAAUGGCUCACCAAGGCGACGAUCUGUAGCUGGUCUGAGAGGAUGAUCAGCCACACUGGGACUGAGACACGGCCCAGACUCCUACGGGAGGCAGCAGUGGGGAAUAUUGGACAAUGGGCGCAAGCCUGAUCCAGCCAUGCCGCGUGGGUGAAGAAGGCCCUAGGGUUGUAAACCCCUUUCAGCGGGGAAGAUAAUGACGGUACCCGCANAAGAAGCCCCGGCUAACUCCGUGCCANCAGCCGCGGUAAUACGGAGGGGGCUAGCGUUGUUCGGAAUUACUGGGCGUAAAGCGCGCGUAGGCGGACUUUCAAGUCAGGGGUGAAAUCCCGAGGCUCAACCUCGGAACUGCCUUUGAUACUGUAAGUCUUGAGUCCGAGAGAGGUGAGUGGAAUUCCUANUGUANAGGUGAAAUUCGUAGAUAUU
rnacentral:rRNA from 1 species